rnacentral:rRNA from 1 species
AUACGGAGGGUGCAAGCGUUGUUCAGAAUCACUGGGCGUAAAGGGCGCGCAGGCGGUUUGGUAAGUCAGAUGUGAAAGCCCACGGCUCAACCGUGGAAGUGCAUUUGAAACUGUCAGACUUGAGUACUAGAGGGGAAAGUGGAAUUCCCGGUGUAGAGGUGAAAUUCGUAGAUAUCGGGAGGAAUACCGGUGGCGAAGGCGACUUUCUGGCUAGAUACUGACGCUGAGGCGCGAAAGCGUGGGGAGCAAACAGGAUUAGAAACCCCAGUAGUCC